GUAGGUUAACAAGAUGCUUGACAUUUGCCCUUAAUGGUCAUUGUCUUCAAAUGCAUCAUUCGGGAGUGAAGUUGCUUGGCAUUUGCAGUUGACUACUUCUUCUCUGGCCUUUGGAGUGAAGGAAGGGAAAAACCAGAGUUGAAGAUGUCAGCUCUGUGCCAAAAAGGAGACCUUCUUCACCUGCUUCUCCUGUGCAAGCUCUUCUGUCUGUCUGCUGAGAUGUUUCUGCCUGUUUCUCUGGCAGAGAAGUGUUUGCUUUUUGGGCUGGCGAGCUGACCAUCCGUACUACCGUCGCCUUGAAUGCCUCCAACCAGCAGUGUUUGCUGCCAGACAGACACCUGGAGAAGACAGAGGACAUGGUUAAGUUCAUGAAGGAUAUCUUGGAUGGUGCUGCUGAAGCACAGGCUGGUGAUGGACUUCUGCAACGAAGCAAGAGAGUCAUCUAUGAGGCCAAGGCUGCUGUAAUGGUAGAGUUCAUUGCUUAUUCAGUGAGGUGAUGCUCUUGUCAGUCAAGAAGGACUUAGUUGCAGAGGCUUUAGAAAUGCUUUGAUGUAAGCUUGUUGCUAUGCUGUGCCUAGUGUAUCUAUUGUCACUAUUUAGAACUAGGCUUAAACCAAAUGAACUUCUGGAUUAAAACAGCCAAUCAUGUCUGCCACA